CCGCCACCAGACCGGCUCGAUCACCUGGUGCAGAGCUUGGACUCCGUGCCCGCCUUGUCAAACCGUCGGACCGUCAAACGAUCGUACUGAUAUUUGAUACAACUGGAUUUUUUGGUUGCUGAAAAAUAAACAUUAUGACUAUUUACAUCAAGGUAUUUACAUCUUCACUGAUAUCCUGCUUGCUGCUCUUAUCUAUGUCAAGCCCUGAAGCUCAUAAUUACCAAAGGAAACAGGGACAGGGAGCAUCUCCUUUAUUCGCGUUCCAGGGCAAUCCUCCAGGAGGAAACAUGGCUCCUCUACACACCGCACACAGGGAAGGCCCAGUCCUGUCUGCAGCCCCUGCCUUUUCCUUCCGACGGCAGGUUGACCCAGAAAUGCUUGAGCAGUCCAG